AAAGGUCUCCCCUCAAAUCUCCUUCUCUAAUCAAAAUCAAAAUCAAUUGAAUUGAUUUUUCAAAAAAAUGGCGUCGAUCCCCUGCUCUUUCCACUUCUACACGUUCCCAUCGUCUCCAUCGAUCUUGUUGGAGCCAAAAUCUCAAUCAAAGCCCAAAUCUUGCAGCAGCACGAUUAAGAAUUUCGUUAGAAACGGCCCUGGGUGGGCCCGGAGCUCGGUGGCCCGGCCCAAGGUGGGGCCCAUGCCGACCGCUUUUUCAUCGGAUGGGAGUGACGCUGAUCAGACAAGCAGGUGAUAGGAUUGGGUCAGAUUGAGAAGCUAGCGGGUCAGAACUUCAUCAGCCUCUGGUUUUAUUUUUCAGAUUGUGCUCUUUGAUAUUGUUAGGGGUAGUCUUUGAUCAUUAAUGGUUUUUUUUUUUUUGCCCGAUGUAAAUUAAUUUAGUGGCUACAUGCAGUUAGUGUGUGGUUCAGAUUCAGUUGCAAAUAGUAAGUCUUUUGCAGAUUAGCUCGUGUUCGGAAUAUAGCAUUUCGAUUUUUCAGUCAA